CAUUCUGACAUCCUCCGAUACUUACUCCAUUAAAAAAAUAUAUAUUUUUGAAAGUUCCAGGUCAGAGGUUGACAUACAUUUUCAACCUUCAGUUCAGGAACUUUAGUGUAUUAAUGCUGUUUGCAGGCCUACUCUCACCCAAGGAGUUUUCACCACGCUCCUCAUUGCUCAGUUCAUUCUUGCCUCUCUUCUUUCUGACUCAUAUCAUCAGUCCAGUCCAAUCUUGAGUUCACCUUGCCCUCUCACCUAUUACCUCAUUCAGAGUGAGAUCAGAACACACAGAGCUGACUCUUCAUGCAAUUGCUGUAGCUUUGCUGGAUCCCAAACAAAACAGAGUCCGGAGAAGCCUGUUUAUAUUUCAGACUGGCUUUUAUUUGCAUUUUCUACAAAAACACUGAACAAGCACACUAUGGGUGAGACAAUACACGAUUGAAGGUUCUUUUGCCAUGGCAAGUAAUAACAAGCCAUUUCCCAUGUGAAUACAUCUGUACACAAUAUCUGCAAUUGUGAUAAUGGAGGUUACAUAAAGGGUUUAAAUUCUUCAUCUGCAAUUGUGACAUCCCAUCACACUGAGCUGCUGGUCAGAGGUGUGUUUUGAUGAACUAUGACAUCCAAUUUCUCCCUCCUGAGGGGAGUCCAACAUAUAACACCUCAGUACGGGGUGAAAAGAAGUUUAGUUCAGAGUUGAAGCUUUGGCUAGAGAUAAGUGUAUUCUUAAGAAAGCUAACAAAUGGGGUCCGAUUAUGUACGUUGCUGACUUCAAUAGACGCAAUAAUGCCCAUCACCUCACAGGCUGAAUCCCACAUUUCUUUGGAAAGAAUUUAUAAUCUGCAUAUGUGGAGAGAUAAUCACCAUAUUGUGUUUCCAUUACAAACAAAUCUUAAAUUUUAACAAACAAAUCGUUUAUACCCUGAGGAGACAUUAUGAAACCCUUGAGAGAUGAUAUCAUGAUCCACACUUCGCAUAACCACAACUCUAUUAGUUUAUGUACACUACUAUGUUUCCAGGAUAACAAGUUACAGCAACCCAGCAGACAACAGCACACGUCUUGCUUGGCAAUACUAUUUCCUAUUAACUAGAUUGCACCCCAGGCUGGAUCAACGCUCUUUCAUAAGCGAUGGGCACUUAAACAUGAGAUGGGUCCAGCCUCACCUGUGGCAUGCUUAGCUCACCUCCAUGGCAAGUGGACCAGACAUACAGAAAUAACAUAAGCACAAAUCUAUCAGGGAUAACUCUAAUCAUUUGAUCAACUCAGCAAUCAGAAAGCCUAGAGCAUAAGAAGCUUCACAUCAUUAAAAUAUGGCUGAAGUCAAAGAUUGACAUUUUCAUACUUGGGUGCCUGAAGUUAGGCACCCAAAUAAGAGUACCCUGAUUUUUCAGAAGUUAUACCCUUAUAGCCCACAUUCACUUCAGUGGAAUCUGUGGGUGCUCCGAAACUUUGAAAAAUCAGACCACAUUUAGUUAAGUGCCUAACUACAGAUUUAAGUGCAUAUCUUUAGGCACUCACAUUUAAAAAUUGAAGCCUACAUUUUUAAUUACUAACAGCUAGAAUUUCUGAACCUUCGACUAAAAACACUUCCCUUAUUAUAAAGUGACAUAGGGAAAAUGGAGAUAUUCUUUAAAACAAAUUCUGUAUCCCAUUUUAACAUUAUCUUAAUCAAUGAAACGAUUAAUAUAUUGUAUAUUUGUGCAGUGUCUAGCACAAUGGGACCCAUACAUAUUAUUACAAUAAAAAUAUUAUUUAAGGCUUGUUUUCUACUUCACCGGUGACCCCAUGGCCAGUGCCACAAACAAUGUUAUAUAUUGCGUAAGCAAGAUGCCCACGGCCAGCUUGAGGCUCAGAAAUUUCAAUUGUAAUUCAGAAUGUGACUUUCAAAUCCAUUUCAGUUUCUUAGUCUUGGUGGGGAGUGCUUCUGAUGUUUAUUUAAAUUAAACAUUGAGAGAACAAGCAACAUUUUAUUUUAAAUUAUGUUAGAUCUCAUGUAUGAUUCUUUUUAAAUAUGCAAUACUGGCAGGCUAUGAAUACACUGUAUAAGCGAGUAAGAAAAUGGCUUCUAGCAUUAAAAGUUAAGUCUCGAAUUUAAAUAAGAUUUUUCUGAAAACAUCUUACUCUCAAAAGAAAAGAACAAUGAACAACAACAAAAAACAGGAAUAGUAUUUCCCAUACCGGAUUGUAUUAUUGGUACAUCAAGUUCUGUAUCUUGUGUCUGGCAUGGGCAUCAUUCCUGAUAUUCCUGAUGCCAUUGUCUGAAGAGCAGCUGGCCACUUGUGCAAUAUUGAAUGUGUUGGGGCGGGAAGACCUUAACAGAGCUGACCUUUUACCCUGGAGCAAGAGAUUUGAUUUCCCUUAUGUAA